AUAAACAAAGUUAAGUAAAGUAAAUGAUAUAAAUGUCGUUAAAAAAUUUGUGCCAUUAUGGAACACAUUUCAUCAUUGAUGAAGCAUUAUAUUCAAGGAAUUAAUAAAUUUAAACAUUUUCCUUCGUAUUAAAUUUUUUAUAAUAUAUUUUUUAUAAUUUUUUAUAAUAACUCGUCACAAUAAUCAUGAAAAUAGAUUUUUGUCCAACUAAAUUGGUGAUCCAUCAUACUCUAAUAGCCAUUAUAUGAACGAGAAAUCAAUAAAAGCUCGUGAUUUACAGGAAUUUCCUGAAAAAAAAAAUAGGUAACAAAUGCAUCAGUAUUGUUCGAUAAGAAGGAGGACGCUUCCUGAUCGUACAGUCAGCUGCAAAUCUACCUUCAUAUAUGACUGUUUGGACAAACGGCAUUAAUUCUUGCUUUAUCACGGCCGAUGGGAAACUCUGUUUUCCCUGUUAUUUAUACGGUUGCUCGGAAACGUUCGACCAUUUAUCGGGACACUGAGAAUGAUCGUGCAUCGCAAUUCCUCUUCAAAGUUUAACUGGAUCCUCAUUAAAGAAUAGUUAAAUUCUGAAGAGUUGACUUUGUUGAAUUACCAGAAUGGUCGAGAUUGAUCGUGCAUACUUAUACU